GACGAACGCUGGCGGCGUGCUUAACACAUGCAAGUCGAACGGAAAGGCCCUGCUUUUGUGGGGUGCUCGAGUGGCGAACGGGUGAGUAACACGUGAGUAAACUGCCCUUGACUUUGGGAUAACUUCAGGAAACUGGGGCUAAUACCGGAUAGGAGCUCCUGCUGCAUGGUGGGGGUUGGAAAGUUUCGGCGGUUGGGGAUGGACUCGCGGCUUAUCAGCUUGUUGGUGGGGUAGUGGCUUACCAAGGCUUUGACGGGUAGCCGGCCUGAGAGGGUGACCGGCCACAUUGGGACUGAGAUACGGCCCAGACUCCUACGGGAGGCAGCAGUGGGGAAUAUUGCACAAUGGGCGGAAGCCUGAGGCAGCAACGCCGCGUGCGGGAUGACGGCCUUCGGGUUGUAAACCGCUUUCGCCUGUGACGAAGCGUGAGUGACGGUAAUGGGUAAAGAAGCACCGGCUAACUACGUG
rnacentral:rRNA from 1 species